rnacentral:rRNA from 1 species
GUGGCCCCAAGUCAGG